CACGUAGGGGCGAGCGUUGUCCGGAUUCAUUGGGCGUAAAGGGCGCGCAGGCGGCCCGGAAAGUCGGAUGUGAAACUCGGGCUCAACCCGAGCGUGCACCCGAUACUGCCGGGCUUGAGGCAGGUAGGGAGAUCGGAAGUUCCUGGUGUAGCGGUGAAAUGCGCAGAUAUCAGGAGGAACACCGGUGGCGAAGGCGGAUCUCUGGGCCUGUCCUGACGCUGGAGGCGCGAAAGCUAGGGGGAGCGAACAGGA
rnacentral:rRNA from 1 species